CAUCAUUGCUGAUUUUGACUUCACGGACACCGCUUCUCCUGACAUUUCUGUUCUGGGGAAGGGAGUCCCUGAAGUUAAAAUCAGGAAUGAU